rnacentral:rRNA from 1 species
UUUUAUGAGAGUUUGAUCCUGGCUCAGGACGAACGCUGGCGGCGUGCCUAAUACAUGCAAGUCGAACGCUUCUUUUUCCAACGGAGCUUGCUCCACCGGAAAAAGAAGAGUGGCGAACGGGUGAGUAACACGUGGGUAACCUGCCCAUCAGAAGGGGAUAACACUUGGAAACAGGUGCUAAUACCGUAUAACAAUCAAAACCGCAUGGUUUUGAUUUGAAAGGCGCUUUCGGGUGUCGCUGAUGGAUGGACCCGCGGGGCAUUAGCU